GGGCUCACACAAGCGGUGGAGCAUGUGGCUUAAUUCGAGGCUACGCGAAGAACCUUACCCAGGCUUGACAUGUGCGAAAGCGCCAAGUGUACCUGGCUGAAAGGUCAGGGAACCUCGCAAGAGGGGACUUGGUACAGGUGCUGCAUGGCUGUCGUCAGCUCGUGUCGUGAGAUGUCGGGUUAAGUCCCAUAACGAGCGAAACCCUUGCCCUUAGUUGCUACGCAAGAGCACUCUAGGGGGACUGCCGGUGUCAAACCGGAGGAAGGCGGGGAUGACGUCAAGUCCUCAUGGCCCUUACGCCUGGGGCUGCACACGUGCUACAAUGCGGCAGACAAAGGGACGCCAACCGGCAACGGUGCGCAAAUCCCAAAAAAUGUCGCUCAGUUCAGAUUGUGGGCUGCAACUCGCCCGCAUGAAGCUGGAAUCGCUAGUAAUCGCGGAUCAGCGACGCCGCGGUGAAUGUGUUCCUGAGCCUU
rnacentral:rRNA from 1 species